rnacentral:rRNA from 1 species
CCCUUAGAUGUUCUGGGCCGCACGCGCGCUACACUGACGGAGUCAACGAGUUAUCCUGCAUCGGAAGGUGUGGGUAAUCUUUUGAAACUUCGUCGUGCUGGGGAUAGAUCUUUGCAAUUUUCGAUCUUGAACGAGGAAUUCCUAGUAAGCGUGAUUCAUCAGAUCGCGUUGAUUACGUCCCUGCCCUUUGUACACACCGCCCGUCGCUACUACCGAUUGAAUGGUUUAGUGAGGCCUCGGGACUGGCGCGCUCGAGUAGCAAUACACCUGCGCGCCGGGAACUUGGUCAAACUUGAUCAUUUAGAGGAAGUAAAANUCGUAACA